rnacentral:rRNA from 2 species
GCAACCCUUAUCCUUUGUUGCCAGCGAUUAGGUCGGGAACUCAAAGGAGACUGCCAGUGAUAAACUGGAGGAAGGUGGGGAUGACGUCAAGUCAUCAUGGCCCUUACGACCAGGGCUACACACGUGCUACAAUGGCGCAUACAAAGAGAAGCGACCUCGCGAGAGCAAGCGGACCUCAUAAAGUGCGUCGUAGUCCGGAUUGGAGUCUGCAACUCGACUCCAUGAAGUCGGAAUCGCUAGUAAUCGUGGAUCAGAAUGCCACGGUGAAUACGUUCCCGGGCCUUGUACACACCGCCCGUCACACCAUGGGAGUGGGUUGCAAAAGAAGUAGGUAGCUUAACCUUCGGGAGGGCGCUUACCACUUUGUGAUUCAUGACUGGGGUGAAGUCGUAACAAGGUAACCGUAGGGGAACCUGCGGUUGGAUCACCUCCUUA